rnacentral:misc_RNA from 1 species
GAUGAAGAACGUAGCGAAAUGCGAUACGUAAUGUGAAUUGCAAAUUCAGUGAAUCAUCGAGUCUUUGAACGCACAUUGCGCCCCCUGGUAUUCCGGGGGGCAUGCCUGUCCGAGCGUCAUUGCUGCCCUCAAGCACGGCGUGUGUGUUGGGCCCCGUCCUCCGAUCCCGGGGGACGGGCCCGAAAGGCAGCGGCGGCACCGCGUCCGGUCCUCGAGCGUAUGGGGCUUUGUCACCCGCUCUGUAGGCCCGGCCGGCGCUUGCCGAUCAACCCAAAUUUUUAUCCAGGUUGACCUCGGAUCAGGUAGGGAUACCCGCUGAACUUAAGCAUAUCAAUAAGCGGAGGA